AGCUUCAGAAGCUAUCUGGCUAGCAGUUAA
rnacentral:tRNA from 1 species